AUGGGCUUCCUUCUCGAAUACAGAUGCGGCGACCGAGUAUUUAGGAUUCCAUAUACUGUCAAUGCAUCAGUACGUCUAUUGGGCUGCGCCGUGUGGAUGUUUCAGUACGUCUCAUCCCCUCCCUUCAGCAAGCAGCACACUGUACAUGAGGAGAUUGACCCCAAAGUCCUAAGUUGGCUAUGGUUAUCCCAUCCUCAAAUCCCCAAAAGUAUGCAGUUUCCAUUUUCCUUUGUCAUGUGCAUGUCAACAAAAAAGAGAUUAGUGUUAGAUUCUCAUGUAUCAGAUUCAGUUGUUUGCCUUGAAGUUGUUUAUAUUUAUCAGGAGGAAGAGGUCAGUCUUUCCCAUCCAAACUUAAUUGAGUACAAUUUCGAAUUUUAA
rnacentral:rRNA from 1 species